AUUGAACGCUGGCGGCAUGCCUUACACAUGCAAGUCGAACGGUAACAGGUUAAGCUGACGAGUGGCGAACGGGCGAGUAAUGCAUCGGAACGUGCCCGGUCGUGGGGGAUAACGCAGCGAAAGCUGCGCUAAUACCGCAUACGAUCUGAGGAUGAAAGCGGGGGACCGUAAGUCCUCGCGCGAUCGGAGCGGCCGAUGUCAGAUUAGGUAGUUGGUGGGGUAAAGGGUCACCAAGCCGCCGAUCUGUAGCUGGUCUGAGAGGACGACCAGCCACACUGGGACUGAGACACGGCCCAGACUCCUACGGGAGGCAGCAGUGGGGAAUUUUGGACAAUGGGCGCAAGCCUGAUCCAGCAAUGCCGCGUGCAGGAAGAAGGCCUUCGGGUUGUAAACUGCUUUUGUACGGAGCGAAAAGGCUCUCUCUAAUCCAGGGGGCUCAUGACGGUACCGUAAGAAUAAGCACCGGCUAACUACGUGCCAGCCGCCGCGGUAACAC
rnacentral:rRNA from 1 species